rnacentral:rRNA from 1 species
GGAGGCCAGUGAAAGGCAAGACUAGGAACACCUGUGCCCUUUAUGUUAAAAGAACUUUUCAUCCGAGUGAAAAGACUCGGAUAAUAGGGGAAGACGAAAAGACCCCGCGGAACUUUCACCUUUUCUUACACUCCUGCCUAGAAGCAUAAAAGUGUAAUAGGUUUGAUUGGGGCAAUCUCGGAACCACCUAAACUUCCGAUCUCAAUAAAAGAAAUUUAAAAUUUGGUAUAGACUAUAAUAGUAGUUACCCCGGGGAUAACAGCGUCAUCCAACUUAAGAGUACACAUCGAAAGUUGGGUUUGCGACCUCGAUGUUGGCUUAA